GGUACAAACAGAGGGUACUAGUGAGCUUUUACAGUCUAAAUCAGUGUUGGAAGAGCAAUGGAUUUGUGGGAGAAGAUGGUCUGCCCUGUUCGAAAAGUUCUGUUCGCGGUAGCUGCCCGCGUCAGGUCACGCAAAAACGGUGCAUCUCUUUUGAAGCUUCACAGUGAUAUUCAAACCUGUGGAUACGCGGAUGUUCAGGUCAUGUGGGAAAUGCUUCAAAGAUCAGAAUCAGAAUUCAUGUCGCAACGCUCCAAGCAGAAUCAGAGGUCCUUUUGGA